rnacentral:rRNA from 1 species
CUACGGAGGGUGCAAGCGUUAUCCGGAAUCAUUGGGUUUAAAGGGUCCGCAGGCGGAUUAAUAAGUCAGUGAUGAAAUCCUCUCGCUCAACGAGAGAACUGCCAUUGAAACUGUUAGUCUUGAAUUCGGUCGAAGUAGGCGGAAUGUGUCAUGUAGCGGUGAAAUGCAUAGAUAUGACACAGAACACCGAUAGCGAAGGCAGCUUACUAGACCUGGAUUGACGCUCAUGGACGAAAGCGUGGGGAGCGAACAGGAUUAGAAACCCGAGUAGUCC